rnacentral:rRNA from 1 species
CACAGACAACCAGGAUGUUGGCUUAGAAGCAGCCACUCAUUCAAAGAGUGCGUAAUAGCUCACUGGUCGAGUGAUCCUGCGCCGAAGAUUUCCGGGGCUAAAACUUACUACCGAAGCUACGGCAUCAGUAAUGAUGGGUAGGGGAGCUUCCCAUACGGGUUGAAGCAUGACCGUAAGGACAUGUGGACAGUAUGGGAGUGAGAAUGUUGGCAUGAGUAGCGAGAUGUGGGUGAGAAUCCCACAGGCCGUAAACCCAAGGUUUCCAGGGGAAGGUUCGUCCGCCCUGGGUUAGUCGGGACCUAAGCUGAGGCCGAAAGGCGUAGGUGAUGGACAACAGGUUGAUAUUCCUGUACUACCGAUAACCGUUUGAGAGAAGGGAUGACACAGUAGGAUAAGCUAAGCACACUGUUGGUUAUGUGUGCCCAAGCAUUGAGGCAGUCAAAGCAGGCAAAUCCGCUUUGAUAAUGCUGGGAUGUGAUGGGGAGCGAAAUUUAGUAGCGAAGUAGCUGAUUUCACACUGUCAAGAAAAGUCUCUAUCGAGGUUAAAGGUACCCGUACCGCAAACCGACACA